CGUUGGAGGAAGCGCUUUCCUCGGGGAGUCCGACACAGCACCCGAGAGACUGCUCGGCGUCCGCAGCGCCCUUCGAGCGGCCGGGCAGCGCCCUCCAUCCCCCCGUCCAAUGACGCCCCACGGGAUUUCGAUCGCCAGGUCAACCGCAGCUUUCACGUUGGGUGGAAGUGUGGAUUUGCAGUCUUCUGGUUCUGCCUUCAGAAAUACCCCGUGUGCCAUCCAUGCUGCAGAACACGUUCUGCCUGAGGGUGCCCGCGAAGCAUGAGUGACGCAAUGAGCACAGCUGAGUGAGCUAGCUGGAUGAGCUGGAGAAGAGCUGAAAGCAAGCAGGGGGAGGAGGGGAGAACAACCUCUCAAAACCACAACAAAUGUUUGCCAAAAUGGAGCGUGUAUACUUACCAAGGAAUAAGUUACAGAUGCUGGGGAAGAGAGUUCUAGGAGAUGUCUAGCACAUCCAGCUAACUCAAAUGAGCUGCACCAUCUUACUCAGAGGCCUGUACUUUUCAGUAGCAGACCAGAUAUUCAGGCUUUUCAUUCCCUCCCUGGCUCUGCCCCUAGCUCUGACACAAAUCAAAUCUACAAAAGCACAUUGUCCUUACCUCAACUGUGUGCCAGCCUGGACAUGUUCAAAUGAAAACCUGGGCUACGCUGUGAUCUUUGCUCUUGCUACCACGAUACGUGCAGUGAAGAGGGAGAUUGCCUCAGAUACAUCUGGAAUACAGCAAUUCAAAGCAACCCCCUCUCAUCUUUGAUUUGAAUUUGCUGUGCUUUCCAUCAUCGCCAAAGGGGAGCUCCUACCUCUGACACACAGGAAGAGGAAUCCUUAACACCUGAUAAAACUCAGAGCUCAUCACCUCUGACACUACUGCAAUUGGAAGGUCUCUGCGUUCUGUUGGUCAAACUGCAAAGGGUUUCUGCAGGGCUGCUCGUUCGGGUUUUUCUCUUUCCUCCGUUUGCCUCGCUGGAAAGGACAAAGUUCACAUUAGGUUUGUUUGCGUUUUCUAGCUAGUGUGAAGGCCUGUGUAUUUGCUUUGCCUGUUGAUCACCUAGCAGGUAUUGCAGUCUCCAUAAAAUGUCAACGUCACAUAAAAUAGUUAAUUAUACAAAGAAUUGCAUGCGAUCCUUGCCAGAAGGAAAGCAGUUCAAUCCAG
ensembl:lncRNA